GCUGGUGUGGUGUAAUGGUGCACACAUUCCUUUGGGAAUGAAGAGUGGGUUCAAAUCCCAUCAGCAGCA
rfam:Crassostrea gigas strain 05x7-T-G4-1.051#20 contig17898, whole genome shotgun sequence.